GGUGUUCUUUGAUCUUCAUAAAUUGCAAUUGGUUUUAGGGUUUCUUUUUAUUUUUUAUUGAAUCGGUGUUAAUUGAGACUGUUUAUGUUUGUAUUUGAUGAUUAAUUGAAUUUUGUAUUUGGAUGUAUACAGAUGCAGAUCUUCGUGAAGACCCUCACGGGCAAGACAAUCACCCAGGAGGUUGAGAGUUCCGACACCAUUGACAACGUCAAGGAGAUCGGAA